rnacentral:rRNA from 1 species
UACACUCCUACGGGAGGCAGCAGUGGGGAAUAUUGGACAAUGGGCGCAAGCCUGAUCCAGCCAUGCCGCGUGAAUGAUGAAGGCCCUAGGGUUGUAAAGCUCUUUCACCGGUGAAGAUAAUGACGGUAACCGGAGAAGAAGCCCCGGCUAACUUCGUGCCAGCAGCCGCGGUAAUACGAAGGGGGCUAGCGUUGUUCGGAUUUACUGGGCGUAAAGCGCACGUAGGCGGACUAUUAAGUCAGGGGUGAAAUCCCGGGGCUCAACCCCGGAACUGCCUUUGAUACUGGUAGUCUUGAGUUCGAGAGAGGUGAGUGGAAUUCCGAGUGUAGAGGUGAAAUUCGUAGAUAUUCGGAGGAACACCAGUGGCGAAGGCGGCUCACUGGCUCGAUACUGACGCUGAGGUGCGAAAGCGUGGGGAGCAAACAGGAUUAGAAACCCGAGUCCCA